AUUCCAUCAAUCCUCUAAAUCCAAUGAUAUUAACUUGACAAGGUCAAAUCAACCUUGACCAAGGCCCAACAACAAGAGUCAAAUACAAACAAGUCAUCACAAUUGGUCAAUAAAAUUAUUUGACAUUUAUUCAAAUUAAAAAUACUAAAGUAAGGCAUUUAAAUUAAAUAUAGUUUGUCAAUUUCAUAAAACCUCAUCAAAACACCAAAUAAAUGGCCAUGAGAUUUAUCAUAGGUCAAACAUGGUCAAAGGACCUUGGAGAAAAAAUUUCAGAAUUUU
rnacentral:lncRNA from 1 species